rnacentral:rRNA from 1 species
CCGGGCUCAACCUGGGAACUGCAUCUGAUACUGGCAAGCUUGAGUCUCGUAGAGGGGGGUAGAAUUCCAGGUGUAGCGGUGAAAUGCGUAGAGAUCUGGAGGAAUACCGGUGGCGAAGGCGGCCCCCUGGACGAAGACUGACGCUCAGGUGCGAAAGCGUGGGGAGCAAACAGGAUUAGAUACC